rnacentral:rRNA from 1 species
GACGAACGCUGGCGGCGUGCUUAACACAUGCAAGUCGAACGGAAAGGCCCUGCUUGUGUGGGGUGCUCGAGUGGCGAACGGGUGAGUAACACGUGAGUAACCUGCCCUUGACUUUGGGAUAACUUCAGGAAACUGGGGCUAAUACCGGAUAGGAGCUCCUGCUGCAUGGUGGGGGUUGGAAAGUUUCGGCGGUUGGGGAUGGACUCGCGGCUUAUCAGCUUGUUGGUGGGGUAGUGGCUUACCAAGGCUUUGACGGGUAGCCGGCCUGAGAGGGUGACCGGCCACAUUGGGCCUGGGAUACGGCCCAGACUCCUACGGGAGGCAGCAGUGGGGAAUAUUGCACAAUGGGCGGAAGCCUGAUGCAGCAACGCCGCGUGCGGGAUGACGGCCUUCGGGUUGUAACCCGCUUUCGCCUGUGACGAAGCGUGAGUGACGGUAAUGGGUAAAGAAGCACCGGCUAACUACGUG